AAGGCUUGACAUACACCGCGGGGCUGCAGAGAUGUGGUUGCAUUUAGUUGGUGGUGUACAGGUGGUGCAUGGUU
rnacentral:rRNA from 1 species